rnacentral:rRNA from 1 species
AGAGUUUGAUUAUGGCUCAGGAUGAACGCUAGCUACAGGCUUAACACAUGCAAGUCGAGGGGAAACGAUAUUGAAAGCUUGCUUCUUAGGCGUCGACCGGCGAAUGGGUGAGUAACGCGUAUCCAACCUGCCCCUGAGUAAGGGAUAGCCCAUCGAAAGAUGGAUUAAUACCUUAUGGUUUCCUUUGAAGGCAUCUGAUUAGGAAUAAAGAUUUAUCGCUGAGGGAUGGGGAUGCGUCUGAUUAGCUUGUUGGCGGGUAACGGCCCACCAAGGCGACGAUCAGUAGGGGUUCUGAGAGGAAGGUCCCCCACAUUGGUACUGAGACACGGACCAAACUCCUACGGGAGGCAGCAGUGAGGAAUAUUGGUCAAUGGGCGGAAGCCUGAACCAGCCAAGUAGCGUGCAAGGAUGACUGCCCUAUGGGUUGUAAACUGCUUUUAUACGGGGAUAAAGUCAGAGUCGUGACUCUGUUUGCAGGUACCGUAUGAAUAAGGACCGGCUAAUUCCGUGCCAGCCGCGGC